rnacentral:rRNA from 1 species
CGAACGCUGGCGGCGUGCUUAACACAUGCAAGUCGAACGAUGAAGCCGGAGCUUGCUCUGGUGAAUUAGUGGCGGACGGGUGAGUAAUGCCUGGGAAAUUGCCCAGUCGAGGGGGAUAACAGUUGGAAACGACUGCUAAUACCGCAUACGCCCUACGGGGGAAAGCAGGGGACCUUCGGGCCUUGCGCGAUUGGAUAUGCCCAGGUGGGAUUAGCUUGUUGGUGAGGUAAUGGCUCACCAAGGCGACGAUCCCUAGCUGGUCUGAGAGGAUGAUCAGCCACACUGGAACUGAGACACGGUCCAGACUCCUACGGGAGGCAGCAGUGGGAAUAUUGCACAAUGGGGGAAACCCUGAUGCAGCCAUGCCGCGUGUGUGAAGAAGGCCUUCGGGUUGUAAAGCACUUUCAGCGAGGAGGAAAGGUUGAUGCCUAAUACGCAUCAGCUGUGACGUUACUCGCAGAAGAAGCACCGGCUAACUCCGUG